AACAAACGCUGGCGGCGUGCCUAAUACAUGCAAGUCGAACGGGGAAAGUAGCAAUAUGAGUACUAGUGGCGCACGGGUGAGUAACGCGUGGAUAAUCUGCCUUGAAGAGGGGGAUAACUAGUCGAAAGAUUAGCUAAUACCGCAUAAGACCACAAGAACUGAGGUUCAAGGGGGCAAAGGUUUUUCGCUUCAAGAUGAGUCCGCGUAAGAUUAGCUAGUUGGUGAGGUAAUGGCUCACCAAGGCAACGAUCUUUAACUGGUCUGAGAGGAUGAUCAGUCACAGGGGAACAGAGACACGGCCCAGUCUCAUAGGGGAGGCAGGAGUAGGGAAUAUUGCAAAAGGGAGGAACCUCUGAUACAGCGGCGCCGUGUGGGUUAUGGAGGUUCUCGGGUCGUAAAGCUCUGUCGCAGGAGAAUAACACAAUGACUGUACCCGGUAAGAAAGGACCGGCUAACUACGUG
rnacentral:rRNA from 1 species